rnacentral:lncRNA from 1 species
GGGUGCAGCGGCAUCAUUUUGGGCUUUGCCUGCUCUCACACCCUGCUGGGAUUUUCUUUUACCACACCAUCAUGGGUAGUGCCUACCACUGGGAGGCCCGGCGUCGGCAGAUGGCAUUGGAACGGAGGAAGGUGCUGAUGGCACAGCAGCAACAAGAGCAGAAUGCAAAAAAGCAGGAAGAGAAGAAACAGCAUUUUGAGAAAACAUCUCAGCCACACCAAGAUUCAAAAGGACCCCAACAGGAUUCAAAAGGACCCCAACAGGAUUCAAAAGGGCCACCGCCUGCACAGCCAGAGCAACAAGCACAGCCACAGGAGAAGGCACAAGGACAGCCACAGCCGCCUGGGCCAAAGUCACAAAAGGAGCAAGACCCACCUACACAGAGCAUCUUCAAGGAUGGUCUCCAAAAAGACACCCAAAGGCAAGGACCCCAGACUAAGCCAACCGGAGCUCAACAAGAUGGCCAGCAAUCCUGUAGAGUGUGCAGUAAACCCCCCAUCCUUCCAGGCCGCGUCAACUAAUUACAUCCAGCAGUGGUGAUCCAGAGAUGGACUCCAAGACCUGAUGAAAGUGAAUAAAAACAAAACCCAAAAAUCAACCAAACAAAAAACCCAAGCACCACCAACCAAACAAACAACAACAACAAAAAACCAAACCAGACAGCUACCACACUUUCUUUCCACCCAGCAAUCUUUCAAAUCCAAAAAGCCAGUUGCAUUUGGAAAGGAGGCUAGCUGGAAUUAAAAUGUAAUUCCUGGAA